UCAAAUUGCUGCUGAUCAAAUGUGGAACACAAAAACCCAGCCCUUCUCUUUUCCCUGAGAUUGACAUUUCCCUCAGGUACAAAGAUGAAAAAGAUGGUGGUCUCUAACCUCAAAGAACUCUCAGUCAAGUGGAGAAGCCAGAUAAGGAAAUGGUUACACCAUAAUGUGAUAAAUAUUGUAACUGAGGAUUGGAAAAUGGGAGCUCAGAGGAAAGAGUAAACUCUACCUGAGGAAAUAAAGGAAGGCUGUUCAGAGGAUAUUUACUGAUGAGUUUCCUUCAUGUUACUCUACCUGCUACCCUGAGCAUCAAAGUUGGAUGAACAGCAAGUACCUCUCCACCAAAGUGGACACGUGAGGAAUGGCCAGUCUCAACUUGGAUAAGUAACAUUUUCUACCUUUUAGUCAUUCAAGGUUCCGUUUAGAGCUGCAGUAUGCCUUCGAAGAAUCAAGCCCAGCCUGACUGUGCACACCCUUCCAUCAAGGCCAUGGCCAAAGCCUUUGGAACACAUGAAAACCUGCUCAGCCAUGUUCGUAAUCUAGGAGUUUUCUCCCUUUGUUUAAAUAAAUAAUUUCUGCCUAUUAU